rnacentral:rRNA from 1 species
GAAGACCAAGGGUUCCUGUCCAACGUUAAUCGGGGCAGGGUAAGUCGACCCCUAAGGCGAGGCCGAAAGGCGUAGUCGAUGGGAAACGGGUUAAUAUUCCCGUACUUCUUACAAUUGCGAUGGGGGGGACGGAGAAGGCUAGGUGGGCCUGGCGACGGUUGUCCAGGUUCAAGUGCGUAGGCUUAAGAGUUAGGUAAAUCCGGCUCUUUUUAAGGCUGAGACACGACGUCGAGCACCUACGGGUGUGAA